UACGUAGGGUGCGAGCGUUGUCCGGAAUUAUUGGGCGUAAAGGGCUCGUAGGCGGUUUGUCGCGUCGGGAGUGAAAACGCCGGGCUUAACUCGGUGCUUGCUUUCGAUACGGGCAGACUAGAGGCAUGCAGAGGAGAACGGAAUUCCUGGUGUAGCGGUGAAAUGCGCAGAUAUCAGGAGGAACACCGGUGGCGAAGGCGGUUCUCUGGGCAUGUCCUGACGCUGAGGAGCGAAAGCGUGGGGAGCAAACAGG
rnacentral:rRNA from 1 species